GUUUUUAUAGUUGAAAUACAACAGGGUUUUUCAGACCUCAGGUUUUGGUUGAAGGCCAAAUAAAAAUA